rnacentral:rRNA from 1 species
CCAUGCUGAAUAUACCGGUUCACGUUACAUCACCGAAGUCAAGCAUCAUCGGGCUCGGUCAGUACUUGGGUGGGUGACCACCUGGGAACACCGCGUGCCGUU